AGCCCAAUACUCGCGAAUUUGUUACGAUCGGCCAGGGUAAUCUUUUGUUCUUCCUUGCAUCCGUGAGGUCAGGGUAAGGAUAUCCUCCUUCCUACAUGCGUGAGGUCAGGGUAAGGAUAUCCUCCUUCCUACAUGCGUGAGGUCAGGGUAAGGAUAUCCUCCUUCCUACAUGCGUGAGGUCAGGGUAAGGAUAUCCUCCUUCCUACAUGCGUGAGGUCAGGGUAAGGAUAUCCUCCUUCCUACAUGCGUGAGGUCAGGGUAAGGAUAUUUGCAGAUCGGAUGUUAUGAAGGAGUAAGUGGAACCGAGGAAAGCGAGGAGAACUCUAUGGAAAUUUCCAUGCGGUUGGGUGGAUUGAGUGUUUAAAAGAGGAAUGAGAUGAGAAGAGGAACUUUUGCUGUUGAAUAUAUACAUAAGCCAUAACAACCGUAUUUUUGCUAUAUACAUGCAUAUCAAAUUACAAAUUAAGAGAUAACUUUACUAAAACUGAGCCUGCUUUUGUGAGAAAGUAAAUAUUUAACAAGUUAAACGCUGUAAAUUUUUAUUCUACUUUCCGUUCUGGAGGCAUGUCGCGCGAAUUGCAGCAAGUUGUGCUGUGCGUGCACGUUUAAACAUGUCCCAAUGAUACAGGACAAUGCAAAA